UACAGAGGGUGCGAGCGUUAAUCGGAAUUACUGGGCGUAAAGCGCACGUAGAUGGCUUUGUAAGCCAGAUGUGAAAUCCCCGGGCUUAACCUGGGAAUUGCGCUUGAAACUAGCGGGCUUGAGUGCGGCAGAGGGGGGUGGAAUUCCACGUGUAGCAGUGAAAUGCGUAGAGAUGUGGAGGAACACCGAUGGCGAAGGCAGCCCCCUGGGUCGACACUGACGCUCAGGCACGAAAGCGUGGGGAGCAAACAGG
rnacentral:rRNA from 1 species